AUGAUUAAAUUUUCUGUGGUCAGCGGGCAGAAUCCAAGUAUACUGACGCCCUCCUUAUGCUGUUCAGCGGUAGGAGCCCUAAAGGCACAGCACGGGAGAGCAGGCGGUCUUAAAAAGCCUGUAGGCCAUUACAAACGUCAUGAUCGUUACAAUAAGGUAUCCCGCAGAAGAUCUAAUAACGGGAAAGAUGUACUGAGAAGACGUCACGUGGUCUGCUAUGGUAGUUUGGGGAGUCCUGUGAGGAGAAGUCCAUGCUUGGCGGGACAACGAACCCCUGUGGGGACAGUG